rnacentral:rRNA from 1 species
GACGAACGCUGGCGGCGUACUUAACACAUGCAAGUCGAACGGAAAGGCCCUGCUUUUGUGGGGUGCUCGAGUGGCGAACGGGUGAGUAACACGUGAGUAACCUGCCCUUGACUUUGGGAUAACUUCAGGAAACUGGGGCUAAUACCGGAUAGGAGCUCCUGCUGCAUGGUGGGGGUUGGAAAGUUUCGGCGGUUGGGGAUGGACUCGCGGCUUAUCAGCUUGUUGGUGGGGUAGUGGCUUACCAAGGCUUUGACGGGUAGCCGGCCUGAGAGGGUGACCGGCCACAUUGGGACUGAGAUACGGCCCAGACUCCUACGGGAGGCAGCAGUGGGGAAUAUUGCACAAUGGGCGGAAGCCUGAUGCAGCAACGCCGCGUGCGGGAUGACGGCCUUCGGGUUGUAAACCGCUUUCGCCUGUGACGAAGCGUGAGUGACGGUAAUGGGUAAAGAAGCACCGGCUAACUACGUG